GCCCUCUUCACACUGCGUACCAAUCUUUCCCAGCACCCACCUGCAUGGGGGUUUAGCGGGCAAUUAAACAGCCAUUCGAUCUGCUUGGUUGACAACUCGUUCGCUAUUCUAAUGUGAUCGAUGUCCUGUAAUUCUCUUUUCAAUUCACGCUCAGCUCCCACCAAAUUGGUACCAUUGUCAGAUCGGAUUCUUACUGGUCUUCCGCGCCGCGCCAUGAAGUUAUGCAAUACUCGAAGACACGUAUCUGUUGUCAGGUCCCUGGCAAUUUCCAAAUGAAUUGCUCUUAUUGUAAGGCAUGUAAAUAUGCAUAUCCAGCGUUUCUCGGUACUCCUUCCUCUUACAAUCAGAAACGGUCCCAUAUAGUCGAUUCCAACAUAUGAGAAUGGGCGUACGUACGGAGAGAGUCUGUCCUUAGGAAGUUGUCCCAUUAAUGGCAUUUUUGGUGAAGCUCUCUGGAUUUUACAAGUCAUACAAUUUCUAGCUGCACGGCGAACCUCCUGUCGGCAGUGUGGUCUGUAGUACUUUCUGCGUAUUUCUGCUAUAAUUGUGUUUUCAUUCUGGUGUUUCCAUAGCUCGUGAUAAUGUCGCACGAUCAAUUUUGUAACGUGAUGCCCUUGGGGCAUUAAUAUUGGACGCCUGUUUUCUUCUCCAACCGAACAUGCGUUAUUAAUACGCCCAUUCAUUCGGAUCACUCCUCUUCCGUCUAUGAUCGGAGACAACUUCCACAGCUUGCUGUUCUUUUCGAUGCACUGUCCAGUCAAUAGCGCAACCCGCUCAUCAUGAAAUGCAACAUCCUGUACAUUGCGGAUCACUAUGAGUACAGCUUCUUCAAUUUCAGCUACAUCAAGGUAGACCUUUCGUUUGAUCUUACGAUCACACAUCCUGUAGACCCAAGCGACAACUCGCAUCAGCCUUGUAAAUGAAGAGAACCUUUCCAGCAACUCCCUGAAUACGAUAUUGACAGAUCCAUCUGAAGACAUCUCAUUGAUUGGUAACGUAAACUUGCUUCUUAGUUCCAGUUCCGUGUCACCAACGUAAUAUAUCUACGCACGCUUCGUCUUUUCUCCCCGCUCUUUCUUCGACUACUCAAACUAAUGUGACCUUCUUGUCUUUUCAUAGUGUGGCCAUUUUUCUUCUCUCUUUUUUCUUUAUGUAGGGUAUCUGUGCCCUUGCUUAAAACUAAGUAUAUAUAAGCUCAUUUUUCUCGACAACAUCCCCACCACCGUGAAUCAAGCACGCUCGUGAUUCACAAUAUGUCUAGCUUUGCCAGCAUACAGGUUGGGCGGUGUAGAACUCCAGCCGUCGUCUUUACAGUGGCUGAGCGAACCUGUCCGUCGCGUCCAGGCGUGACUGCUAGAAUAACUCCCUUUUUCCAUUGAGAUCGAUGAAGGUUCUUAUCACAGAUAAGAACAAUGUCCAUUUCAGCGAGUGGUGGCACUGGGUGAUGCCACUUUGUCCGUCUGCAUAGGUCUGGUAGGUACUCAUUGAGCCACUUGUUCCAUAAUGAGUGUGAGAUCUGCUGAGCGAUGCGCCAUUCCUUUCGAGUUGGCUGGUACUUCUCCUCUUGUGGAUGUGGCGUCUGGCUAGAAUUGGGAGAACCUAAAAGAAAGUGAUUAGGGGUUAUCGGAUCGUCUGUGGGGUUAUCCAGAGCAAUGUGUGUAAGCGGUCUGGAAUUUACUAUGUUUUCAGCGUUACACAUUAGGCUAUACAGUAUGUCUUCUUUCAGGUUUUUGUCAUGCAGCGCGUGUCCUAUGGCCCUCUUCACACUGCGUACCAAUCUUUCCCAGCACCCACCUGCAUGGGGGUUUAGCGGGCAAUUAAACAGCCAUUCGAUCUGCUUGGUUGACAACUCGUUCGCUAUUCUAAUGUGAUCGAUGUCCUGUAAUUCUCUUUUCAAUUCACGCUCAGCUCCCACCAAAUUGGUACCAUUGUCAGAUCGGAUUCUUACUGGUCUUUCGCGCCGCGCCAUGAAGUUAUGCAAUACUCGAAGACACGUAUCUGUUGUCAGGUCCCUGGCAAUUUCCAAAUGAAUUGCUCUUAUUGUAAGGCAUGUAAAUAUGCAUAUCCAGCGUUUCUCGGUACUCCUUCCUCUUACAAUCAGAAACGGUCCCAUAUAGUCGAUUCCAACAUAUGAGAAUGGGCGUACGUACGGAGAGAGUCUGUCCUUAGGAAGUUGUCCCAUUAAUGGCAUUUUUGGUGAAGCUCUCUGGAUUUUACAAGUCAUACAAUUUCUAGCUGCACGGCGAACCUCCUGUCGGCAGUGUGGUCUGUAGUACUUUCUGCGUAUUUCUGCUAUAAUUGUGUUUUCAUUCUGGUGUUUCCAUAGCUCGUGAUAAUGUCGCACGAUCAAUUUUGUAACGUGAUGCUCUUGGGGCAUUAAUAUUGGACGCCUGUUUUCUUCUCCAACCGAACAUGCGUUAUUAAUACGCCCAUUCAUUCGGAUCACUCCUCUUCCGUCUAUGAUCGGAGACAACUUCCACAGCUUGCUGUUCUUUUCGAUGCACUGUCCAGUCAAUAGCGCCACCCGCUCAUCAUGAAAUGCAACAUCCUGUACAUUGCGGAUCACUAUGAGUACAGCUUCUUCAAUUUCAGCUACAUCAAGGUAGACCUUUCGUUUGAUCUUACGAUCACACAUCCUGUAGACCCAAGCGACAACUCGCAUCAGCCUUGUAAAUGAAGAGAACCUUUCCAGCAACUCCCUGAAUACGAUAUUGACAGAUCCAUCUGAAGACAUCUCAUUGAUUGAUAACGUAAACUUGCUUCUUAGUUCCAGUUCCGUGUCACCAACGUCUGAAGUUCCUAGGUUCCAUUGACUUGCGUCCUCUUGAAGGAAUUGAGGGCCUCUCAAUCAGGAGGUUUCUCGAGUUCCAGAUCUGAGUUUGGUGCCAAAGUCUGCCGGGUUAUCCUUAGUAGGCACCCAAUGUCAAUCUUCCAAGCUUGUGGCUUCAAGUAUCUCGUCAAUUCUGUGUCCUACAUAUGGCUUAUAUUUUCUGUGAUCUGAUUUAAUCCAUGCUAAGACAGUCUUGGAAUCGGACCACAUGUGGACACAUUUGGGGUUGACGUCGUGACCCUCAAGAAUACAUUUCCUGAGACGAGUUCCUAGCACUGCCGCCUGUAGCUCGAGCCUGGGUAUGGUCGAUAGUUUCAUUGGGGCACACUUGGUCUUUCCCAUUAUAAAUGCGGACUUCCAUCCAGAUUUCGUACGUAUGCGCCAGUAUCCAACUGCUGCAUAAGCUGACUCACUCGCAUCGCAAAAUAUGUGUAGUUCAAUUGGUUCCCCAAAGAACUCUUCAGCGUAACAUCGGGGUAUCCUUAUCUUGCAUGCUUGGCUUAGGCUGCGCAACCAACAUUUCCAUUGCUUUAUAUCGUCGCCCUCAAUUGGCUGGUCCCACUCUGUUCGCUUUUGCCAUAUUGACUGCAGAAGCAGUUUAGCGAUCAGGGAAUAUUCGGCUAGAAUUCCAAAUGGGUCAAACACAGACAUAACCACUCGCAAUACUUCUCGCUUAGACGGUAUUCUUGAUUC